UCUGCUGUAGGUGUACGGGGGCUGUGGCAGUGUGUGAAGGCUGUACGGAGGUGUGCGUUGGAGGUGUGGCCGAUGAGGAGGCCACGUAUGGAAGCUUGCGGCGCUAGGGGACUUAGGGUUUGCUGAAAGUUGUAGUUCGUAUUGGGCUUUGGGCUAUUAGGGUUAGGUUUGGGCUUGGGGUUUUUUAUUUUCUGUUUUGGGCCCUAUUAGGCCUGCUGUAAUGAACUGUAAACAUUGUAAUCAAUUGUUAUUGAGGCCCCGGGCAAAAUGGCCUAUUACAGCUGCCCCUCUUUGCUAAUUGUCGUGUAUCGAGAAUAGAGUA
rnacentral:lncRNA from 1 species